rnacentral:rRNA from 1 species
GAUCAACGCUGGCGGCGUGCCUAACACAUGCAAGUCGAACGCGAAAGCCCGCAAGGGUAAGUAGAGUGGCGCACGGGUGAGUAACACGUGGACAACCUGCCUUCGAGUGGGGAAUAACCUUCCGAAAGGAGGGCUAAUACCGCAUAACACCUCGGGACACAAGUUCUGGGGUUGAAAAGAGCAAUUUGCUCGAAGAGGGGUCCGCGCCUGAUUAGCUAGUUGGUGAGGUAACGGCUCACCAAGGCUUCGAUCAGUAGCCGUCCUGAGAGGGAGCACGGCCACACUGGAACUGAGACACGGUCCAGACUCCUACGGGAGGCAGCAGUGGGGAAUUUUUGGCAAUGGGCGAAAGCCUGACCAAGCAACGCCGCGUGGGUGAUGAAGUAUCUUGGUACGUAAACCCUUUCGGCAGGGACGAAAAAAUAGACGGUACCUGCGGAAGAAAGCCCCGGCUAACUCCGUGCCAGCCGCCGCGGUAAG